rnacentral:tRNA from 1 species
GGCGUAGCUCAACUGGGUAGAGCGCUGGUAUGCAAAACCAGAGGUGCAGGUUCGAGACCUGCUACCCUCGCCA